rnacentral:rRNA from 1 species
AGUGAACGCUGGCGGCAGGCCUAACACAUGCAAGUCGAGCGGCAGCGGGUUCCCGCGAGGGGAUGCCGGCGAGCGGCGGACGGGUGAGGAACACAUCGGAAUCUGCCUGGUUGUGGGGAUAACGUAGGGAAACUUACGCUAAUACCGCAUGCGACCCUGAGUCGACGGACUGGGGUGAAAGUGAGGGACCUUCGGCCUCACGCGACCAGAUGAGCCGAUGUCGGAUAGCUAGUUGGCGGGGUAACGGCCCGCCAAGGCGACGAUCCGUAGCUGGUCUGAGAGGAUGAUCAGCCACACUGGGACUGAGACACGGCCCAGACUCCUACGGGAGGCAGCAGUGGGAAUCUUGGACAAUGGGCGCAAGCCUGAUCCAGCCAUGCCGC